rnacentral:rRNA from 1 species
UACGGAGGAUGCGAGCGUUAUCCGGAUUUACUGGGUGUAAAGGGAGCGUAGGCGGCUUAGUAAGUCUGAAGUGAAAGCCCGGGGCUCAACCCCGGGACUGCUUUGGAAACUGCAUAGCUGGAGUGCUGGAGAGGCAAGCGGAAUUCCUAGUGUAGCGGUGAAAUGCGUAGAUAUUAGGAAGAACACCAGUGGCGAAGGCGGCUUACUGGACUGUAACUGACGUUGAGGCUCGAAAGCGUGGGGAGCAAACAGG